CGUCAACUUUCCUAAUACAGUUAGACAUAUGGAAACCCUUACUCCUAUUUAGACUCUUAUCUCUUCCCUCUUUUCUCAGUUUGCAAUUGCUGCAUAUUUAGGAUUUCACGGAGAAUUGGGCAAAACUACCACGAAAUAGCUGCAGAUAACAUUCGAUACCCGGUAUUUCUCUCUCCUCAGUAGAGGGACGAAGUGUUGCUCUGUCGUUUGGUUAAUUGGUUGUCGUUUCAGAGGAAAGAGCAGAGGCACGAAGUGCUGUGUCGUUUGGUUAAUUGGUUAGAGCUUCAGAUCAGGCACGAACUGUCGUUUCAGAGAAUCAGAGGAAAGUGCAGGAUACAUGGGUGAUUGUGAUUGGUCCGCGCUACCCGUUGAUAUCCUUGGAGAAAUAGUGUUGAAGCUAGAGUCUCCUCAAGACAUUCUCUAUUUUUCUGCGGUAUGUAGUUCAUGGCAUUACGCGUAUUCUUACUAUAUAAAAAGAAGUGGAACAAGAGUAUGCCAUUGUUAAUGCUGCCCGAGAACACCAAAGAUCACCCUAACUUCUUUAGGAAUAUAUUUUGUCCAAAUAACCAAAGAUGUUACCAAUUAAAACUCCCUCAAACUUUUGGGGCUAGAUGUUGGGGUUCCUCUUGUGGUUGGAUUGUGACUUUUGAUCUUAACCAAAACUUGCAUAUGUUUAACCCACUAACCACAACUCGUAUUCCCCUACCUCAUCAAUCAACCAUGCCCGGUCAUGAUUUUUAUGAUGAUUUUUUUGACAAAGAUGAUAUGGAUUUUUAUGAAUUAAGAGGCCUUUUCUUGGAAAAGGUGCUUGUUAUUCAAGUUGAUGAUGGAGGAGGAGGAAGAGGAGAUUAUAUUAUUAUAACAAUUCCUGGCCAACCUAAUGGAAUCGUAACUUAUGCAAAGCCAGGUGAUCUAGUAUGGACUUCGAUUAUAACUAAGGAGAUAAAUAUAGAAGCAUGUGUUAAGGAUGUUGUGCGUUGGGGUUCACAAAUCAUAUUCUUGUAUGCGGACGGAGUAACUGGAUAUUGCGACAUCAAUGCACUUAAUCAUUCAAAUUUAGAGCCAGCGAUGUUAAUGAAAUAUCUACCUCCACCCGAAAGAUUUAUACCACCAUACAAAGUGUACUUGUUGGUGUCUUUUGGUGAUCUUCUAAUGGUCUCCCGACACAAACGGUGUAUUAAUGAUGAAAUUGAGGAUGAUCCGGAUGAUUUUUCUUAUCAAACAAUAGACUUUGAGGUAUACAAACUCAAUUUAGGCACUAAAAAUUGGAAGCGUGUUUAUGAGUUAGAUGAUGUUGCAUUAUUUGUGGGGGACAAUACUUCUAUGUCCGUUCGUGCAUCAAACUUUAGUAAUUGCAAGAGCAAUUGUAUUUACUUCACCGAUGAUGAGUGGCAAUUUUGGGAUACGUCGGAGGUUAAGGGGGGGGCAUGAUAUGGGACUUUUCAACAUGACAAACAAGAAGAUCGAAACUAUUUACGAAGAUCUGCUUUCCUCCUUUGCUCCUUCCCACUCGCUCGAACCAAAUCCAACACCAGAGAUGAAGAUUAUUGCCGCUUGCUUGUUGGUUGCUUUGGGCGGUAAAGCUUGCACUACUGCCGGUGAUGUCAAGAAAUUUUUUGGAUCAGGAUAUCUGGUUAUUGGUGAUGAUUCUUGAUGCAAGUUACGUUUCUUUGUUCCUUGCGUUGUCCCCUCCUAACCUCCUAACCAAUGCGCAAUGCCUCUGGGAUCUGUAUAGAGAGAGAAAUCAUAGAGUUCAAACAAUGGCGGAAAAAAAAUUGCAGAUCUCGAUUCAAUUUCUUGGAGACUGUCAUUUUCUCGCCACGUUUUACAGCGUCGGUUCUUUGAAUUUUGUUCGCAUUAUUUUUCUCUUCUCUCUCUUGCAUUUUGAACGAACUCGUGAGUUUUGUACCGGUUCCACCAUUUUGUCGGCGAGCAAAGGUUUUCCGGCAAAGAAUUCUUACUUAUGAACUGACAAUUUGAAUUCGAUUGUACUGUGGUUCAUUUGUCGCUGUGCGCAUAAAUUCUGCUGAGGUUGUUGCGGGAUCAACAGCUUGGUUAAUUAGGAAGAGUGCCUGCAAUGGCCGUAUAGAUGUUUAAUAUGAUAGUUCAAACCCAGAACACCAGGAAGCUUUGAGGGUAUUGUGGAAUGCUGCCGUUCCUGGUGAAGAACUUCGUGAUUUGAUAUCUGAACAAUGGAAGGAAAUGGGUUUUCGGGCUCAAUCUGUGGCAUCAAUUCAACAACAUUGGAGAAAUGGUUGAGUUUCUGGAAUUAAUUUCAGAAUUAAUUUCUACUAAAAUCUGAUUGAUAUUCAUGGCACAAGUCAAGGUCCAAGAGUUCCAACAAUGACUGGUUAUUUGGAUUUACCAUGGCUUCUCUAAAUGAAAAUGGGAGUGUUCUUGCAAAUCCAAGGAAGGGCGAGAAGAAUGUGAGCACUCUCAUGUAUCGUCCAUUUAGGAGCUGGGAAAACAAUAGUGAGGAUAGUCCAUUACUUAUACAAACACCGAAGACUGUUCUCAGAUUUUACUGGAUGCUCAUCCUUUUACUUGAUAUCAAUAGAGGACCAAAUGCUGUCACAUAUAUAUCUGAGUUCAGAACAGGAGGGUUACAACAGUAGCAAACUUUAAAGAUCUGCCCAAAGCUCUCAGUUCCAACAGUACGUGCACACUAUCUCUCCUUUCUUUUGUUCCAGGAAGUCCAGCUUUUCUGUGGAGUUUCUCAAAAUUUUCUUUACAGAUGGUUUUUGAAAUGGAGGCAGGAGAUACUUUACAAAAUGAAGUUCCAACAUAUAUGUCCUGGUAUUCGUUGCAAUGGUAAAGGGAGGAGUCCACGCGAGAAUACACCUAUUAACUGCAGUCCACACUGAAGAACACAAGGUUCGGGAGCAUGAUACCUUAGGGAGGGAUGUUGAACUCUUCUGAAGGCACCUGUAUAGUGAAAAAGGGGGACCUGCUGUAAAAGGACAAGAAUGGUGCUGAACUUGUUGAAGGACUUGAGAUACGCAAAGGAGGUUAUAAGUUGGUUAAGACACGCAUGAGUGUGUUUUUGCUACACACCUUCGAUCAUUCAUUUCUUUUAACUUCUGGAAUUGAUAAUUUGGUCAUUGUUGGAAUUCAAACUCCUAAUUGCAUUAGGCAGACAGUCUUUGAUGUGAUAGAAUUGGAUUACCCUUCUGUCUCUGUCAUUGUUGAUGCCACAACUACUAAAACUCUCAAGGCUCAUGCUGGUACUGGAAUACCUAAAAAGCCACAACUUAUGUUCAAGCAUAAAUUAACGAGUUGAGGGACUUAUGGAUUAUUUAUAUGUCCAAGCAUAAAUAAGUGAAUGAGGAACUUGAAGAUGGUUUGGAUUAUGACGAUGUUAGUUGAUUGAUCUAUGACGGUUAUUUCAAUUUUUGAACUUUGUGUUUCUUUAUGGAAAAUUAUAAACGAAACACUGAGCACUUUUUAAACAUUAACUAGUUUGUGGCCCGGGCGUUGCUUCGGGUUUUACUUUUAAUGGGAUUUACUUAUUUUAAA